rnacentral:rRNA from 1 species
UACGGAGGGUGCAAGCGUUAUCCGGAUUCACUGGGUUUAAAGGGUGCGUAGGCGGAUUAGAAAGUCCGUUGUGAAAUCUCUGAGCUUAACUCGGAAAUUGCGGUGGAUACUAUUAGUCUUGAAUACUGUGGAGGUUAGCGGAAUAUGUCAUGUAGCGGUGAAAUGCAUAGAUAUGACAUAGAACACCAAUUGCGAAGGCAGCUGGCUACACAGAUAUUGACGCUGAGGCACGAACGCGUGGGGAUCAAACAGG